CUAUCUGGAAGCACAAGUGGCUGGCAACUGGGUCAUAACUCAAGACUUUAUUCUGCUUCAUUCAGUGUUCCAGUGGAGUGAGAAGUUGGUACCCAGCCAAUGACGGGAAGAGUGAUGGGUGCUGAUAGUUCUACACAACACUCCAGGUGAACAGCUGUCUUGGCCUGAACCUUGCACCAGUGCUUCAGGAUGUGAGUUCCGUCUGCUUUAUAGCUGCAACCCUGAAGAUGGAGUCACACUUGAAAGAACAGUGAUUCAAUGGAGGAGACAAAUAAACAUGCAGGCAGGAU